GCAGACACAUUCCAGCCAAUCAGCAGCAGACCCUCCCUCCCAGACCCUCCCACCUCCUGGACAGCAUCCAUUUUACAUUCAUUGUGAGCUGCAUUCUUAGUGAGCUGUCCAGGAGGUGGGAGGGUCUGGGAGGGAGGGUCUGCUGCUGAUUGGCUGGAAUGUGUCUG